GCACGAAGUUAGCCGUGGCUGCUUCUGCAGGUACCGUCCGAACGGUUACCCGUUCCAUCUUCCCUGCCGAAAGGGGUUUACAAUCCGAAGACCUUCAUCCCCCACGCGGCGUCGCUGCGUCAGGCUGUCGCCCAUUGCGCAAUAUUCCUUACUGCUGCCUCCCGUAGGAGUCUGGCCCGUGUCGCAGUGCCAGUGUGGCUGAUCGUCCUCUCAGACCAGCUACCCGUCGAAGCCUUGGUGAGCCGUUACCUCACCAACAAGCUGAUAGGACAUGAGCCCAUCCAGGAGCGCGAUACCCACGGUAUCGCUUUCUCUUUUGAUCCGCAGACCAAGAGUCGUAUGCGGUAUUAGCUAACCUUUCGGCUAGUUAUUCCCCACUCGAGGGUAGGUUACCCAUGUAUUCCUCACCCGUUCGCCGCUUUACAAACGUAUUGCUACGUCUUCUCGCUCGACUUGGCAUGUAUUAGGCGCGCCGCCAGCGUUCGUU
rnacentral:rRNA from 1 species